rnacentral:rRNA from 1 species
UGCCAGCAGCCGCGGUAAUACGAAGGGGGCGACCGUUGUUCGGAAUUACUGGGCGUAAAGGGCGCGUAGGCGGUCUUUUAAGUUAGGCGUGAAAUCCCCGGGCUCAACCCGGGAACUGCGCUUAAUACUGGAAGACUAGAAAACGGAAGAGGGUAGUGGAAUUCCCAGUGUAGAGGUGAAAUUCGUAGAUAUUGGGAAGAACACCAGUGGCGAAAGCGACUUUCUGGCUAUUUUCUGACGCUCAGGAGCGAAAGCGUGGGGAGCAAACAGGAUUAGAUA